AUUUAAAUAGUUUAAUUAAAAAACUUUGAUUUGUGGUUUCAAGAAUGUAUUAUUUGUACUUUAAAUUG
rnacentral:tRNA from 1 species